ACUACUACUCUGCUGGAAUAGCCUUAUCAAUCGCACCCUUAGCAAUGAGCGGUUUAUUAAUAUUGACAGUAGCUACUCUUCUUUGCUAGCUCUCUGGCUGUACUAAACACUAACUGCACGAACAUUUCUCUUUAUUUGUGCUCUCUGCUGCUUUUGCUGCUAGCUAGCUGUCAUUAACUUUAGCUAACGUAACAUUAACGGUCGUCCUCAAACGUCUCAGCCUGCCGACAUCUUCAGGCCAGGGUUUCUUCUCCGCUAAAGUGCUAGGGAACUGCUUCACUUCACCCACGUCAGAAAGACAUGUUUAAAAGUGUGGCAGUGUGUUAUGCCCUGCGCUCAUGUCGCCCCGGAAAGAUGGAGAAUUACCCCCCUCCUGUUCUUCUACAAGCCACAGAGGCGGGAAGUAAACGUACCAGAUUAGCCUUCACCUGGUGUGGUGCUGUAGGAAGAUAAGGCGACGCAGGAUAAACUUGGGCCACUGAUGGAAAACUUGAGGUGCUGGGAAUCAGAGUGAGCAGAUGGAGGGAAGCGGAAAAAGGCAUGAUGUGAUGCAUGGCAACAGAGAGGAAGAAGAUGGCAUCGCUGUAGUAAGCCCCAGAGCCAGCGCUGAAGUGCUUCUGCAUGGCCUCCACAAUAGGGAAUAGC